CGCUCUCAAGAAUGUAAAAUGUUCCCGUUGAGCAAUCCAGGAGUAUAGUAUAACGCUGGCAGGUGACAUCUAUCGAAUGAAGAAAAACUGAAGCCAACAUUUAUUGGACCUUUCGAAGUGCAAGCAGUCCUACCAAACGAUCUAUAUGCCUUGAGAAGAGUAGGAGUCCAGAAUAGAACCAAUGAGAU